UACGGGGGGUGCGAACGUUGUUCGGAAUCACUGGGCGUAAAGAGCGCGUAGGCGGCCUUGUAAGCGGGGUGUGAAAUCCCCCGGCUCAACCGGGGAACUGCAUCCCAGACUGCAGGGCUUGAGGGCAGCAGAGGAAACGGGAAUUCCCGGUGUAGCGGUGAAAUGCGUAGAUAUCUGGAGGAACACCGGUGGCGAAGGCGGCAUCCUGGACCGGUAUUGACGCUGAGGCGCGAAAGCUAGGGGAGCAAACGGG
rnacentral:rRNA from 1 species